rnacentral:rRNA from 1 species
UAUCCUAACCGUGCGAAGGUAGCGUAAUCACUUGUUCUUUAAAUGGGGACUAGUAUGAAUGGCACCACGAGGGUUAUACUGUCUCCCUUUUCCGAUCAGUGAAACUAAUCUCCUCGUGAAGAAGCGGGGAUAAAACUAUAAGAGGAGAAGACCCUAUGGAGCUUUAAAUUCCUAUUCAAAGCAUAAUGAAAUAAAAUUUUAGGUUGGGGUGACCGCGGAGCACAAAACAACCUCCACAUUGAACUAGGUCUAUCACCUUGAGCAAUGAACUACAAUCCUAUGCACAAAAAAAUUUACAUUCAUUGACCCAAUUUUUUUGAUCAACGAACCAAGUUACCCUAGGGAUAACAGCGCAAUCCUCUUCAUGAGCUCCUAUCGCCAAGAGGGUUUACGACCUCGAUGUUGGAUCAGGGUAUCCCAGUGGCGCAGCCGCUACUAAUGGUUCGUUUGUUCAACGAUUAAAACCCUACGUGAUCU